rnacentral:rRNA from 1 species
GAUGAACGCUGGCGGCGUGCCUAAUACAUGCAAGUCGAGCGAAGCGGGGACGGGUGAGUAACACGUGGAUAACCUCCUAUAAGACUGGGCUAAAUUCGGGAAUCCGGAGCUAAACCGGAUACUUAUCGCUGGAGCUGCGCUGCAUUAGCUAGUUGGUACGGUAACGGCUUACCAAGGCAACGAUGAAUAGCCGACCUGCGAGGGGGACCGGCCACCCGGGAAUUGAGGAACAGUCCAGACUCGUACGCGAGGCAGCAGUAGGGAAUCUUCCGCAAGGGUCGAAAGCCUGACGGAGCAACGCCGCGGGAGUGAUGAAGGUCUUCGGACGGUAAAACUCGGUUAUGAGGGGAGCGGUACCUAAGAAGAAAGCCACGGCUAAAUACGUGCCAGCCGCCGCGGUAAUAC